UGCUAUCCUCCCAAGCCCAAAUAUCGACUUAGCAAAGGACAGAACGUUAUACAUCUGUUACCAAAAAAAAAAAAGGAAUGUUAUAUAUGUCUCCAUCAAGUUUGUUAUCCGUGCAAGCUCUCCAUGCUUAUUCUCUUUUGAUGCCUCAUUCUUUUAUCUAGCCUCUAUAAAUAGGGGUGACAAUCAAGUCGGGUUAAAUCAGAUAUAGG
rnacentral:lncRNA from 1 species